UCCAAGGCUAAAUAUUGGCGAGAGACCGAUAGCGAACAAGUCCCGCGAG
rnacentral:rRNA from 1 species